GAUGAUUCAAGAGGCCUAUGUGUGGAGCAGGUCCACAAACAUUACUGGAUUUAUUUAUUUCAUAUUAAAAACGAUAUGCACGAUCACUUAUAGGAAACAGAUGAAACAAGAUAAACCACAGUGCACCAAAUGACUGAUGACACACUAAUAACGUGGGCGUGUAGGACCAUUUGUGGGGACAGAGUUAUGUAACAGAUGACCCACAUGACCUGUUUGUCUUUUCAGGUCUCUGUGCCAAAGCUCUGGAUCAGCUGUGUUGCUCUCAGAAAUGAUCAGAUGAAGCAAUGUAGGUGAAAGAGGGAGCCAGUGCUGGUAAGAAACAUAAACCAGUCAGCAACAUAUCCACCUUACUGGAUAUACAUCACAGUAAUAUGUAAAAUGCAGUAACAAAAUCAAGUUUACAUCACCAGAAGUCAUGUAUAAUAGCCGGACAACCCGUUGUACAAAUCAGUUUUCUAGCAUAAUUUAUGUAGGCUGAACAGGACCACGAAUAGAUCCCUGGGGAGCUACUUACACAUGUGUAGGAGAAACAAUGGUAGCUAUGAAACUCACUCCGGUCUGGGCUACUGUAGAAACAUGGCGGUGCAACAUGAUGGACUCCAUAGAAGAUGGCCCGUGGCGUCUGUGGCUAAAAAUGGCUACUUCUAAGACACUUGGAGACUUCUUCUCAGAGAGCUUUUGAGGCAACAGGUUGGUGUAAGAGUGAUCGUCUUCUUCUAUGUCGGCCAAAGUCCUGAUGCCAGAACUGCUUCCUAUAAGUCAUCUCCUCAGGAUGCUCUCUGCAGAAAUGGGCUGAAUGACCACAACUCAGGGUCUGUGCACAAAUGCCUGCACAUGUCUGUGUGUAAAUAAAUGUGUGUGUAUGAAA